CAAUAGCGUAUAUUUAAGUUGUUGCAGUUAAAAAGCUCGUAGUUGGAUUUCGGGUGGGACGCAGCGGUCUCGCACUGCGUUUGUACUGCUGCAGCCCUCCUUCUUGCCGGGGGCGGCCUCUCGGACUUCACUGUCUGGGGGUCAGAAUCGGCGAUGUUACUUUGAGUAAAUUAGAGUGUUCAAAGCAAGCUUACGCUCUGAAUAUAAUAGCAUGGGAUAACACGACAGGACUCUGGCCUAUCGUGUUGGUCUAUAGGACCAGAGUAAUGAUUAAGAGGGACAGUCGGGGGCAUUCGUAUUCCGUUGUCAGAGGUGAAAUUCUUGGAUUUACGGAAGACGAACAUCUGCGAAAGCAUUUGCCAAGGAUGUUUUCAUUG
rnacentral:rRNA from 1 species